rnacentral:rRNA from 1 species
AGAGUUUUGCGAUCCUGGCUCAGGAUGAACGCUAGCGGCAGGCUUAACACAUGCAAGUCGAGGGGUAACAGGGAUUGCUUGCAAUCCGCUGACGACCGGCGCACAGGUGCGUAACGCGUAUGCAACCUACCUUUUACAGUCAGGGGAUAGUCAAUAGAAAUGUUGAAUAAUACCCCAUACGAUCAUUAAUCUGCAUGGAUUGAUGAAGAAAGUUCCGGCGGUAGAAGAUGGGCAUGCGUCCUAUUAGUUAGUUGGUAAGGUAACGGCUUACCCUCAAGACAUCGAUAGGUAGGGGUCCUGAGAGGGAGAUCCCCCACACUGGUACUGAGACACGGACCAGACUCCUACGGGAGGCAGCAGUGAGGAAUAUUGGGCAAUGGAGGCAACUCUGACCCAGCCAUGCAGGCGCGUGCAGGAAGACUGCCCUAUGGGUUGUAAACUGCUUUUAUACAGGAAGAAACACACCUACGUGUAGGUGCUUGACGGUACUGUAAGAAUAAGCACCGGCUAACUCCGUGCCAGCAGCCGCGGUAAU